AGAGAUGUCAGGUGAGCUGCACUGUACAUAGAGAAGAGUCAGUUCUGUGUGGUUCUAAGUGAAAUCAAUCACGGCUCAGUUCAGCAUUCACGGUUCACCGCGAACCACUGCCAAGUGGUUUUCAGGGGACCCAACUUCACUGCAGAAAGGAGCUGUUAUUUAAAGUGGGGGCAUUAAGGCAGAAGGAGAAAAAGAAGGAAACCUCUCCUCAGGCUGCUGUUGUUCUCCUUAACCUGCCCUCAGGAGAUCACCCAGUCCCUUCCCAGAGGCGGUUUGAUGAAAAGGCAAGAAAAUAUGAGUGAAGUCACAAAUGUCACCAAGGAAAGGAAGAACAGAAAAAUAACUUGAAUAUUCAAGAUGGGCAGCCUAGUUCAACGACACAUCAAGCCUUGUGAAAAGGUGACUCCGAGGAGUUUACCUUCGGGCAGCUCAUACACCAGCUGACAAUCUGUCCUCACCCCGAGACGGCAAGCCAAGCUCAGAGACCCUGAAGAUGACACUCAGAUCCACUAACAGGAGAACCGGGGUCCAACCGUGUAUCAAACCAGCAAGAUGACAGGCAUGCGAAAGAGGAUUCUCAUGACUGCCUUUCUCAUAUGUCUUAUUUUUGAACUAUAUAAAUAUGUAUAAAUAUAUUACCUAUUCAGAGAAAGGAAAAACAGUAGGAUGCUAAAAGAAUGGAGACAUAGACCAGAAAAUCUGGCCAUGGGCAAUGUAAGUUGAAAGAAUAUAUGUCAAUAAUUCAAAAAA
rnacentral:lncRNA from 1 species